rnacentral:piRNA from 1 species
UAAAAUGAUGCUAUCUGGUGCUGCAUAAA